AUCCAACUGACGAGUCCCAAACAGGACGAAUCGCGCGUCCUAGUU
rnacentral:hammerhead_ribozyme from 1 species